UCAUAGAUGAAUAAGAGUCUGUCCUUCAGCUCAAGGGGCUCACGCCCACCGGAGCAUUGCCCUUGGGAGCAUUGUCUGGCGGAAAAGCGUCGUUGAACAACGCUCUUCAAGGAUUCUCGCCGAAUCACAAAAUCACAUCCUUUGCGGAGGCUAAGGGCUUGGACUUGCCAAACGAGCGAAUGCGUCCGCGUAAGGAUGCUCCUGCAACCCCGGAAGAGCCAGCCAAGGCUAACAAUAACUACUACUAUAACAACAACAAUACUAUUACCAUUACCGCUACUGCUACUAUUACUACUACUACAACUACUACUAUUUCAACUUCUGUUACCACGAUGAGUGAUCGUUUUUUGUUGUAUGUGGCCGGUUAUUGGUGACCCUGCAGGUUUCCCCCUUCUUUUUCCUCCAUCGCAGCAGGUGCACCAUCUGGCGGAAUGUAUGAGUAUGACUUAAAACUUGAUAUUUGCACCCUAUUGGGCAUAGUUCCUGGAUUUUUCCGCUGUUUUUUCUUGUUUCGGAUCUUGUCAAGUCAAUCGAAGCCGGUAAUUCCUUUCCACCUUUGGAUGUCGCCCUCCCCUACAAACUAAGACUCAUUCACUUCUGUACUUAUUGCAACAAACUGAACUAAACACAUCAGGUAUUACCUUUGAUGACA